rnacentral:rRNA from 1 species
GACGAACGCUGGCGGCGUGCUUAACACAUGCAAGUCGAGCGGAAAGGCUCCUUCGGGGGUACUCGAGCGGCGAACGGGUGAGUAACACGUGAGUAAUCUGCCCUGCGCUCUGGGAUAGCCACCGGAAACGGUGAUUAAUACCGGAUAUGACCGCUACACGCCUGUGUUGGUGGUGGAAAGUUUUUCGGCGCAGGAUGUGCUCGCGGCCUAUCAGCUGGUUGGUAAGGUAAUGGCUCACCAAGGCUUUGACAGGUAGCCGGCCUGAGAGGGUGAACGGUCAAACUGGGACUGAGACACGGCCCAGACUCCUACGGGAGGCAGCAGUGGGGAAUAUUGGACAAUGGGCGGAAGCCUGAUCCAGCAACGCCGCGUGAGGGAUGACGGCCUUCGGGUUGUAAACCUCUUUCAGUACCGACGAAGCGAAAGUGACGGUAGGUACAGAAGAAGGACCGGCCAACUCCGUGCCAGCCGCCGCGGUAAAAC